rnacentral:lncRNA from 1 species
AUUUGUUGAAGAAGAGAUGAACACGUGUAUGGUAAUCCCAUUUUAUCUUAGGGUUAAUUUUCUUUUGCUUUUAUUAUCAUUACUGUUAUUAAAAUAAGGCUAGCAAUAUUUGUUUUUUUUGUUUUGUUUUGUUAGUUUUUCUUUAAGCCCAUUGCCACCUCUUAUCUUUUGAUGCAUCGUAUGGAUUUGUGAUGUUGCUGUGAUCAUGGGGCUCAAGGAUUGACUUCUAAUGUUGUGGUACUUUGUUUUGUUUGAUAGUCAUUAGAGUGUGCAUUGUUCUUUUAAA